rnacentral:rRNA from 1 species
GACGAACGCUGGCGGCGUGCUUAACACAUGCAAGUCGAACGGAAAGGCCCUGCUUUUGUGGGGUGCUCGAGUGGCGAACGGGUGAGUAACACGUGAGUAACCUGCCCUUGACUUUGGGAUAACUUCAGGAAACUGGGGCUAAUACCGGAUAGGAGCUCCUGCUGCAUGGUGGGGGUUGGAUAGUUUCGGCGGGUGGGGAUGGACUCGCGGCUUAUCAGCUUGUUGGUGGGGUAGUGGCUUACCAAGGCUUUGACGGGUAGCCGGCCUGAGAGGGUGACCGGCCACAUUGGGACUGAGAUACGGCCCAGACUCCUACGGGAGGCAGCAGUGGGGAAUAUUGCACAAUGGGCGGAAGCCUGAUGCAGCAACGCCGCGUGCGGGAUGACGGCCUUCGGGUUGUAAACCGCUUUCGCCUGUGACGAAGCGUGAGUGACGGUAAUGGGUAAAGAAGCACCGGCUAACUACGUG